AUUGAACGCUGGCGGCAGGCCUAACACAUGCAAGUCGAGCGGAUGAAAGGGGCUUGCUCCUGGAUUCAGCGGCGGACGGGUGAGUAAUGCGCAGGAAUCUACCUAGUAGUGGGGGGAUAACGUUUCGAAAGGAACGCUAAUACCGCAUACGUUCUGAGGAAGAAAGCAGGGGGAUCGUAAGACCUUGCGCUAUUAGAUGAGCUUGCGUCCGAUUAGCUAGUUGGUGGGGUAAAGGCCUACCAAGGCGACGAUCGGUAACUGGUCUGAGAGGAUGAUCAGUCACACUGGAACUGAGACACGGUCCAGACUCCUACGGGAGGCAGCAGUGGGGAAUAUUGGACAAUGGGGGCAACCCUGAUCCAGCCAUGCCGCGUGUGUGAAGAAGGCCUCGGUUGUAAG
rnacentral:rRNA from 1 species